rnacentral:lncRNA from 12 species
AUGGUCAUAGACUCCCUGCUUGGUCUAACACCUAUAAUCUUUAUAUUUUUCACAAGUGUUUCCAUUUUCUCUUGUUUUAGUACUGUCCUGGAGAAAAUGAGCCUACUGGAGAAAGACUUCAAAAAAUACAAAUGUCCUGGGACAGGUGAGGGAGUGAGAGGAAGCUGGUGGAGCUACUCACAGUGGACAUCUAACUCCAGAGAGAGACAGAGAAGAGAAGAGCACGAGAGCAAGGAGAGACUGUUUUCUCUUCUUAAGAGAAUGCUUAACAAAUACAUUAUUUAUUAGCCAAGAGAAAGCAGUGGAAAAAAUGGGUAACAUUACAAUUUUUUUUAAUAUCUUUUUUUAAAUGAAAUUUCUAAUUUCUGUAGUUUAUUUUUGUGAUGCAAGUUAAAAAUUAAAUAAAUAAUUUGUAUACACUACAAAAAUGAAUAAUGUAAUUUAUUUGUAAAUGAGCCUGAGUACUUUCUGUACAUUUUGCAUUUUUGCUUUGCAUAUUCACGUGUAAAUAAAAGAGAAUUAUGUAAAUUAUUUUUUUUAAUGCAGCUUAUAAUUUUUUCACAACAUUGUUCUAAAUGUUUUUUUUUCCUUUAAAUGUAAUUUUUUUACACAUUAAAACAAACUGUUCUAUACAUCACUGAAAGUACUUUUUUACAACUAUUUACAACAACAGGUUUAACAGGUUUAACAUCAUAACAGAGACUCGGAGGACAGUGUGGUGACAGUGGAACGAGGCACAUGUCAAACACUCUGGAGACCACUCUGUAUGAUGUACCGCUGGCAGACAGAAGAGAAACACUAGGGUCUGGAUUGUGGUACCCAUCACUGUUGCUGUUCACUUCUCAGAAGAUCCAGCAGCACUGUCAGGGCCUCUCUGCUCAGAACAAAACCAUUAAAAACAUGUCCAGCGCUGCCACAUUCAGCUAUAUCCUGUGGUACAGGGGUCUGGUCUGAUUUAGGAAAAGAAGGAAAAGAUAAAUUGUUUAGAGCUAUGACAAAGUAAUUAGUACAAGAAAUAUUGAGACACUUUAGUAAACUACUUUUAGCAAUUACCAAUACCAUAUUGGGGAAAAACUACUAGUCAUGUUUUAAAACCUUAGCUAAAAGGAUAGUUCACCCAAAAAUGAAAAUUCUAAACCUGGAACAACUUAAGGAUAAAUGAUUACAGAAUUUUCAUUUUUGGCUGAACUAUCCUUUAAGUAAAAGCAUUAUCUUGCAUACUCUAAGAUACUUAAGGUAUUGAGAGUAAAAGUAAAGGUAUACAGUACUGUUGUGAAAAAAAGAAUUUGUCAUUAAUAUUACUGCUGCACUACUGUGUAUGUUGCAUUUUACUUGUGAAUAUGUUCAAGGUUAUUCAAUUUAAAGUUGCCUACUAAAUAUACUGUUGGGUAGUUUAAUCUACAACAAUGCAUCAUGUUGUAAAAGACCAUAUUUUUGUAGUGCUGCUGUCUGUGAGAAAAAAAAGAAAGAAAACUUAGUACUUCAUAUUUGUAAGAGUAUACUUAAUGAAUGUACUUCCUUACAGUCCACCUCUGAUUAUUUUGAAAAUGAAAGUAACAACAUUUAUUGUCAGAAUAUUAAACAAAUUUUUGCUAACUAUAUCAAAGGCUGCAUCUGAAGGACUUGGACCGGUCAAACAGAGCACUGUUCAGCUGUGACAGCUGCCGCUGAACAUUGGGCUAUACUUUGCUCUAUUUUUUAUUUCUUUCUUUUUUAUUCAGUUUUAUUUCCAUGCUUAACUGCCUAAAAAAUCCAGGUUGCAAACCUGUCUACAUAUAUUCACCUUGGUCAAGACAAUAAACUAUAUUAAAUCACACCUUUGUAAGAUAUCAGUCAGCAUUUGAGCUGCUGUGUGUGUGUUUAUUUUGUAGUUUUUCAUAUGUAUCAUUACAUUACUCAAGUAAGCUCCAAGCCAAUACCUGCAUUUAAAGUUGUAAUCCGACUAAGGACGCAGCAAACCAGUGUAGCUUACCUGGCCUCGAUCUUGGCUAAGCCUGAGGUACAUCACCAUCUCCUCCAUUAUGACGUAAAACAUAAAAACAAAAACGAGCAGUUCUGGCUCCUCCUAUCCUGGCAGGAGCCAGAACUGCAUAUAAAAACAAAUGUUAAGAAUGUACAGUAGGAUGAAUACAAAUAAUUCUUGAAAUAAAAUAGCGCUACAUUAAGUUGAAAUGCCAUAAGCAAAC